GACUAACGCUGGCGGCGUGCCUAACACAUGCAAGUCGAACGAAGCAGCAAUGCUUAGUGGCAGACGGGUGAGUAACGCGUAGAUAAUGUGCCCUCUUGCGGGGGAUACCGUUUCGAAAGGAACGUUAAUACCGCAUAAAGUCCUUAGGAGGCAUCUCCCUAGGACCAAACUUCCGGGGCGGGAGGAGCAAUCUGCGUACUAUCAGCUAGUCGGUGAGGUAAUGGCUCACCAAGGCUACGACGGUUAACUGGUCUGAGAGGAUGAUCAGUCACACUGGAACUGAGACACGGUCCAGACUCCUACGGGAGGCAGCAGUGAGGAAUAUUGCGCAAUGGGCGAAAGCCUGACGCAGCGACGCCGCGUGGAGGAUGAAGGAUUUCGGUCUGUAAACUCCUGUCAGUAGGGAAGAGAAUGGACGGUACCUACUGAGGAAGCUUCGACUAACUACGUGCCAGCAGCCGCGGUAAGGUGCGCGAGU
rnacentral:rRNA from 1 species